rnacentral:rRNA from 1 species
UGGGGAAUAUUGCACAAUGGGCGCAAGCCUGAUGCAGCCAUGCCGCGUGUAUGAAGAAGGCCUUCGGGUUGUAAAGUACUUUCAGCGGGGAGGAAGGCGAUAAGGUUAAUAACCUUGUCGAUUGACGUUACCCGCAGAAGAAGCACCGGCUAACUCCGUGCCAGCAGCCGCGGUAAUACGGAGGGGGCAAGAGUUAAUCGGACUUACUGGGCGUAAAGCGCACGCAGGCGGUCUGUCAAGUCGGAUGUGAAAUCCCCGGGCUCAACCUGGGAACUGCAUUCGAAACUGGCAGGCUAGAGUCUUGUAGAGGGGGGUAGAAUUCCAGGUGUAGCGGUGAAAUGCGUAGAGAUCUGGAGGAAUACCGGUGGCGAAGGCGGCCCCCUGGACAAAGACUGACGCUCAGGUGCGAAAGCGUGGGGAGCAAACA